UACGAAGGGGGCUAGCGUUGUUCGGAAUCACUGGGCGUAAAGGGCGCGUAGGCGGCUUUAUAAGUCGGGGGUGAAAUCCCCGGGCUUAACCUGGGAAUGGCAUUUGGGACUGCAAGGCUGGAGUUUGGCAGAGGAGACUGGAAUUCCCGGUGUAGCAGUGAAAUGCGUAGAUAUCGGGAGGAAUACCGAUGGCGAAGGCAGGUCUCUGGGCUAUAACUGACGCUGAGGCACGAAGGCCAGGGGAGCAAACGGG
rnacentral:rRNA from 1 species